CCUUCCGUUUAUUCUAUUUCAAUUUUACCUAUGUCUUAAUCCCCAAAUUAUAAAAUCAAAAUCCUAGGGUUUCUACCUCUCUUCAUCCCCUCUGGAAUUCGUCUCUCCGGCGAAGCCUGCCGCCCCGCCGUCGUCUCUGUCACGCCGCCGCCUCUUCUGACUCAGGAACCGAGGUUUCAAGGGAUUAGUCAGAGUGACAGUCGUCUACUGCUCAAGAUUCAAUUUUUAUAUGAUGUAAAUCUGUUUAUUUAUUGAUUAUCGAGAAAACUGGGAUUGUGUUGCUGAAUCUGAAUAGGGAUGUCUGUAGCUUAUUACUAUUACUACUGUUUUCACUAUUUUUAACUGUUAUUAUGUACAUAAAGAGAAAAGAAAGACUACCUUCUUUAUACAAA